UACGUAGGGUGCGAGCGUUGUCCGGAAUUAUUGGGCGUAAAGAGCUUGUAGGCGGUUUGUCGCGUCUGCUGUGAAAUUCCGGGGCUUAACCCUGGGCUUGCAGUGGGUACGGGCAGACUAGAGUGUGGUAGGGGAGACUGGAAUUCCUGGUGUAGCGGUGAAAUGCGCAGAUAUCAGGAGGAACACCGAUGGCGAAGGCAGGUCUCUGGGCCACUACUGACGCUGAGAAGCGAAAGCAUGGGGAGCGAACAGG
rnacentral:rRNA from 1 species